GAUAGGAUUUUGGCAGACAGUUUAAAAUUGUAUCCUUCCCUAACUACUCAUGCAGAGGAAAGUCGAGCUUGCUCAGACACUCAAUCAUCUCGAUUAUGUAUAGUACAUGAUUAGUGACUGAUGCUCCUUCCCUCAUUCGAGCAUUAAAAAUGGCACAACUUGUCUUCUUCCUCUCAACAUCAUCAGGCAUGCCAAAGGACUCGUUUAACAUUUGCAGCAUGUCCUUUGGUUGAGCAUUCUCAAAUCUAUGGUUGAACUCAUCAUUCACAGCCACCAA
rnacentral:lncRNA from 1 species